UACAGAGGGUGCGAGCGUUAAUCGGAAUUACUGGGCGUAAAGCGUGCGUAGGCGGUCAUGUAAGUCGGAUGUGAAAGCCCCGGGCUCAACCUGGGAAUUGCAUUUGAGACUGCUCUGCUCGGGUGCGGAAGAGGGAAGCGGAAUUUCCGGUGUAGCGGUGAAAUGCGUAGAUAUCGGAAGGAACACCAGUGGCGAAAGCGGCUUCCUGGUCCGACACCGACGUUCAGGCACGAAAGCGUGGGGAGCAAACAGG
rnacentral:rRNA from 1 species